CUCGCCGGCGACCGGCGCACGGGUGAGUAACACGUAUGAAACCUGCCCGUAGCAGGGGGAUAAGCGGAAGAAAUUCCGUCUAAUACCGCGUAACAACCCGAGGAGGCAUCUCCUCGGGUUUAAAGGAAGCGAUUCCGGCUACGGAUGGUCAUGCGUCGCAUUAGCUAGUUGGCGGGGUAACGGCCCACCAAGGCGACGAUGCGUAGGGGUUCUGAGAGGAAGGUCCCCCACACUGGUACUGAGACACGGACCAGACUCCUACGGAAGGCAGCAG
rnacentral:rRNA from 1 species